rnacentral:rRNA from 1 species
AUGGACGAAAGUCUGACCGAGCAACGCCGCGUGAGUGAAGAAGGUUUUCGGAUCGUAAAGCUCUGUUGUAAGUCAAGAACGUGUGUGAGAGUGGAAAGUUCACACAGUGACGGUAGCUUACCAGAAAGGGACGGCUAACUACGUGCCAGCAGCCGCGGUAAUACGUAGGUCCCGAGCGUUGUCCGGAUUUAUUGGGCGUAAAGGGAGCGCAGGCGGUCAGGAAAGUCUGGAGUAAAAGGCUAUGGCUCAACCAUAGUGUGCUCUGGAAACUGUCUGACUUGAGUGCAGAAGGGGAGAGUGGAAUUCCAUGUGUAGCGGUGAAAUGCGUAGAUAUAUGGAGGAACACCAGUGGCGAAAGCGGCUCUCUGGUCUGUCACUGACGCUGAGGCUCGAAAGCGUGGGUAGCGAACAGGAUUAGAUACCCUGGUAGUCCACGCCGUAAACGAUGAGUGCUAGGUGUUAGGCCCUUUCCGGGGCUUAGUGCCGGAGCUAACGCAAUAAGCACUCCGCCUGGGGAGUACGACCGCAAGGUUGAAACUCAGAGGAAUUGACGGGGGCCCGCACAAGCGGUGGAGCAUGUGGUUUAAUUCGAAGCAACGCGAAGAACCUUACCAGGUCUUGACAUCCCGAUGCUAUUCUUAGAGAUAGGAAGUUACUUCGGUACAUCGGAGACAGGUGGUGCAUGG